GCCAUUGUAGUGUAGUGGUUUGAGUGUUGGACUAUGACUCUGGAGGCCAGGGUUCGAAUUCUGGCUCAGCCAUGCCA
rnacentral:tRNA from 1 species